GAUGAACGCUGGCGGCGUGCCUAAUACAUGCAAGUCGAGCGAACGGACGAGAAGCUUGCUUCUCUGAUGUUAGCGGCGGACGGGUGAGUAACACGUGGAUAACCUACCUAUAAGACUGGGAUAACUUCGGGAAACCGGAGCUAAUACCGGAUAAUAUUUUGAACCGCAUGGUUCAAAAGUGAAAGACGGUCUUGCUGUCACUUAUAGAUGGAUCCGCGCUGCAUUAGCUAGUUGGUAAGGUAACGGCUUACCAAGGCAACGAUGCAUAGCCGACCUGAGAGGGUGAUCGGCCACACUGGAACUGAGACACGGUCCAGACUCCUACGGGAGGCAGCAGUAGGGAAUCUUCCGCAAUGGGCGAAAGCCUGACGGAGCAACGCCGCGUGAGUGAUGAAGGUCUUCGGAUCGUAAAACUCUGUUAUUAGGGAAGAACAUAUGUGUAAGUAACUGUGCACAUCUUGACGGUACCUAAUCAGAAAGCCACGGCUAACUACGUGCCAGCAGCCGCGGUAAUACGUAGGUGGCAAGCGUUAUCCGGAAUUAUUGGGCGUAAAGCGCGCGUAGGCGGUUUUUUAAGUCUGAUGUGAAAGCCCACGGCUCAACCGUGGAGGGUCAUUGGAAACUGGAAAACUUGAGUGCAGAAGAGGAAAGUGGAAUUCCAUGUGUAGCGGUGAAAUGCGCAGAGAUAUGGAGGAACACCAGUGGCGAAGGCGACUUUCUGGUCUGUAACUGACGCUGAUGUGCGAAAGCGUGGGGAUCAAACAGGAUUAGGUACCCUGGUAGUCCACGCCGUAAACGAUGAGUGCUAAGUGUUAGGGGGUUUCCGCCCCUUAGUGCUGCAGCUAACGCAUUAAGCACUCCGCCUGGGGAGUACGACCGCAAGGUUGAAACUCAAAGGAAUUGACGGGGACCCGCACAAGCGGUGGAGCAUGUGGUUUAAUUCGAAGCAACGCGAAGAACCUUACCAAAUCUUGACAUCCUCUGACAACUCUAGAGAUAGAGCCUUCCCCUUCGGGGGACAAAGUGACAGGUGGUGCAUGGUUGUCGUCAGCUCGUGUCGUGAGAUGUUGGGUUAAGUCCCGCAACGAGCGCAACCCUUAAGCUUAGUUGCCAUCAUUAAGUUGGGCACUCUAAGUUGAUUGCCGGUGACAAACCGGAGGAAGGUGGGGAUGACGUCAAAUCAUCAUGCCCCUUAUGAUUUGGGCUACACACGUGCUACAAUGGACAAUACAAAGGGCAGCGAAACCGCGAGGUCAAGCAAAUCCCAUAAAGUUGUUCUCAGUUCGGAUUGUAGUCUGCAACUCGACUACAUGAAGCUGGAAUCGCUAGUAAUCGUAGAUCAGCGUGCUACGGUGAAUACGUUCCCGGGUCU
rnacentral:rRNA from 1 species